rnacentral:tRNA from 1 species
GGAAGGAUGGCCGAGAGGUCAAUGGCACCGCCCUGCUAUGGCGGACCGGCUCAGCACCGGCGAGAGUUCGAAUCCCUCUCCUUCCG